UACGUAGGGCGCAAGCGUUAUCCGGAAUUAUUGGGCGUAAAGAGCUCGUAGGCGGCCAGUUGCGUCCGCUGUGAAAUCCCGGGGCUUAACCCCGGGCGUGCAGUGGAUACGGGCUGGCUGGAGGCAGGCAGGGGAGAACGGAAUUCCUGGUGUAGCGGUGAAAUGCGCAGAUAUCAGGAGGAACACCGGUGGCGAAGGCGGUUCUCUGGGCCUGUACUGACGCUGAGGAGCGAAAGCGUGGGGAGCGAACAGG
rnacentral:rRNA from 1 species